ensembl:snoRNA
CCGCCGUGAUGGCAACGUUUUUCGUCAGCAGCAUCUCACAGUGUGAAUGGUGACAGCUGUGCUCUGAGCGG